rnacentral:lncRNA from 1 species
AGGAACAUACUUGCCUGGAGAUAGCCUUUGCGAUAUUUAAAUGUCCGUGGAUACAGAAAUCUCUGCAGGCAAGUUGCUCCAGAGCAUAUUGCAGGACAAGCCUGUAACGAAUAGUUAAAUUCACGGCAUCUGGAUUCCUAAUCCUUUUCCGAAAUGGCAGGUGUGAGUGCCUGUAUAAAAUAUUCUAUGUUUACCUUCAACUUCUUGUUCUGGGAUUUGUAUUUUAGCAAUUUGUUAUGUUUCUCUUGAAAGUCCAUUGACAUAGACAUAACCAACAAAUUGAUAACUGAUAUCUAUCAAUAGAUAAUGGAAAAACAAGCUAUGUGGUAUCUUGAUCCUAGCAUUAGCAAUAUGGGUACGAGUAAGCAAUGACUCUCAAGCAAUUUUUGGUUCUGAAG